CGCAUCUGUGCAUGCAGCAUAUCAAUAAGCGGAGGAAAAGAAACUAACAAGGAUUCCCCUAGUAACGGCGAGUGAAGCGGGAAGAGCUCAAAUUUGAAAUCUUAAAGGGUUUUCCCUUGACGAAUUGUAGUUUAAAGAAGUGUUUUCUGUUGAAGUUUUGGUAGAAAGUUCUUUGGAAUAGGACAUCAUAGAGGGUGAGAAUCCCGUAUUUGACCAUUAUUUUCAGCUUUGUGAUACACUUUCAAAGAGUCGGAUUGUUUGGGAAUGCAGUCCAAAAUGGGUGGUAAAUUUCAUCUAAAGCUAAAUAUUGGCGAGAGACCGAUAGCGAACAAGUACCGUGAGGGAAAGAUGAAAAGAACUUUGAAAAGAGAGUUAAACAGUACGUGAAAUUGUCAAAAGGGAAGCGUUUGACACCAGUGUUGUUUUUCUGAAAAUCAAUUAAAGAAGCUGUUUAUGCUAAGUUGUUUAGACUUUAUCAGCUAACUGUUUAGUUUUGAGCUUUUCUUUAAUGCACUUUUCAGUUAACAAGUCAACAUCAAUUUCUUUUGCUGUAAAAAAGCUUGAGGAAGGUGGCUUGAGAUUCGUCUUAAGUGUUUAUAGCCUCUUGCCUAUGCAGUCGGAGAGAUUGAGGUCUGCAGCGUAGAUCCUUCGGGGCUAAAUGCAUUUGUGCUAAGUUAUAGCAUUUUAUAGACAACUUGUUGACUAUGAUUUGUCUUGUAGCUUACUCGCUUAUGUUAUUUUACCUACGCUUAGGAUGUUGAUAGUCACAGCGUGUAC
rnacentral:rRNA from 1 species